rnacentral:rRNA from 1 species
UCGGAUUGGGAGGGUCUCGCGGCCUAUCAGCUAGUUGGAGAGGUAACGGCUCACCAAGGCAUCGACGGGUAGCUGGUCUGAGAGGAUGAUCAGCCACACUGGGACUGAGACACGGCCCAG